rnacentral:SRP_RNA from 1 species
GCUGGGCAUGGUGGCCUGUGCCUGUAGUCCCAGCUACUUGGGAGGCUGAGGCAGGAGGAUCACCUGAGCCCGGGAAGUUGAGGCUGUGGUGAGCUGUGAUCGUGCCACUGCACCCCAGCUUGGGUGAUACAGUGAGACCCUGUCUCAA